CCCUUAGAUGUUCUGGGCCGCACGCGUGCUACACUGAGUGGAUCAGCGGGUCAGGUUGCGCGAAAGUGUUUCCUAAUCUUGAAAUCCGCUCGUGAUGGGGAUUGACGGUUGCAAUUUUCUGUCAUGAACGAGGAAUACCUUGUAAGCGCGGGUCAUCAUCCCGCGCUGAAUACGUCCCUGCCCUUUGUACACACCGCCCGUCGCUCCUACCGAUUGAGUGGUCCGGUGAGGCUUUGGGAUCUGAGUGGAAAGAGCGUUUCGCUGUUUCUGCUCGGAAAACUCAGUCGAACCUUAUCAUUUAGAGGAAGGAGAAGUCGUAACA
rnacentral:rRNA from 1 species